rnacentral:piRNA from 1 species
UUGGAAGAAAGGAUGAGUUGCUCACACA